UAACAUGAUCAGGACAAAGGCCAAACCUCCGCCACCAACACAAGCGUCUUCGCCUCUCUCAGGAAGCAAUGUUGAUGAAUGUUAAUUACUGUAUAAUAAAUGUUAAUGACUAAGGUUUUAUAAUAAAAGAUUUUAGUAAAUACGUGUACUGUUGUAAUAUUUGUCUCAAAUAUGUAAAGUAUAAAUACAAAUUCCUCGAGGGGGGAUGUGGGGGGGGGGGGCGGAAUUCUACUUCGCGGUUUUUCACCUUUCGCGGGGGGUUCUGGUCCCCAUUAACUGCGAAAAACGAGGGAUCACUGUACAUGCUACUGCUUUGGAUUCAAGUUGUAGUCAAAGACAGAUAGCAGUAAAGUACAAACUUUGACUAUUGUCAAUCAACACUGUGAUGCUGUACUUUCGGUUUUAAGCACAAAGGAAAGACCUAGAUUGCAAUGAACACGUCUGCUUGUCUAGUCUCGCGUUGGAGAGAAAAUAGGACAAGGGGAACGCAAAUAACAUCCCGCUACAUUCGCUCCCGGAGGCCUGCUUGAUAGCUGUAGCUUGAACGAUAUAUUCCCCAGCUCAACCUCGCUCUUCCUAGGACCCAAACUUACGACAAUGGCGGACGACGGAGACAAAUUCAUUACCUGUCCAACCAAAAGGUCCAAGCUGUUUGUUUUGACUUACCCCUGUGAUGACCGCUGAAGACCCAUGGGACACCAAAAGCAGGAAGAGGAGCAGAAAUAAGGACUUCAUGAUGAAGAGGUGUCUCAGUGCUGCUGUGUCCUUCAAGGUGAGGGAAGAAAAUGGAGCAGGAAAUCGAUCGGUGCAUUGGUGCAGUGUCAGCAGAGAAUGGACUCAGCUUCGGUUGUGAAGAAGGUGCUGAGCCGAAACGCACACAUUUACACGUUGACCUACAGUAUGUUCCCACCCAACCCAAUGGUCACGAGAUGUGCACAUGUUUUGCGCCGUGACUGAACGUGACGUGAAGCUUGAUGUGAGAAUUGUGACCGAACAUGGCAAAAUGGGACUAAACACACAUCAAAGGCGGAAGAAUGUGACACAACUUGAAAAGAAAAUACGAUACCAGGGAAUACAGAAGCUUCCAGUUCCACCCCGGCCCACUAUCUAUCGGAUUUAGUUGCGUUCACCACAUUUUACUAUGGCUAACUAGGUUUCUCAUCCGCACUUAGACUGCUGUGGCAACUAUUGAUGGUUUUAAAAUCUCACCAGGCAUUCAAAGCAAUCAUGGACUGUUUUUUUUAAUUUUUUUAAUAGCCCCUCUGUCCAUUUUAAAUGAGGUCCUUGAGCACAAACGUUUUCCCACCUCUGGAAUAAGUGGUAUAGAAAAUGGGUGGAUGGAUAAGUAAGGGAUACUGAUUUUAAAUAUUGUGAAGACUUGGUUGCAUCUUUUCCCACUCAUUUUUGAAGCACUGAUAUAACACAGAGUGACGGAAAAAACCAAAAAACUUGAAUAUGUCCAAAGGGGAAAUGUAGCUGCUUUGUCAGGAGUCUCCAAGUGAACUUGUAGUUUGCAUGCCAAAUGUGCCAAUUUGACAAAAGACAGAAUAAAUAAUACCAAAGGGAACUUUUGAGUGAUGUAUUAUUUAUGGCUAUGAGUAAAAUCACACGUCAUACUUUUUGACUAUAACAGGGUAAGUCUUCUGCAGCCAUCACUCUGCAUCAAUUCAUCCAUCUUUUUCCUACACUCUACCCCUUAUCCUGAUCAGGGUUGCGUGGAGCAGCAAUCUAUCCACGCAGACUAAAAGGUCGACUACACUAUGGAUUGGUCAUCAGUCAAUCAUAGGGCAUUUGUUUGUAAAUAGAACUACUGUGAUUGUAUAUACUGUACAGUAAAUCCUCCGCUGAUUUGCAAACACUAUACAUGAACUGACAUACUCGUGAGUUUUUCUAUGGAACAUAACGAAAAAUAAUUGUACCUACUACAGUAUAUCUGCAUGUUUGUGUUCUGUCACAGUCUAAGACGCCCCCCAAAUGCCCUGCUUCUUCUAAACACCAUGUAUAAGCUCAUAACGUAAUAACUGACCAAUAACUUAAUAAGUCCUGAACCUCACAAGAUUUCUUUGGUUGAGUGAUGUGACUCCUAAUGGGUGGGCACAUAGUCCAGAAACCUGCCAAAACUGUUUCCGUAACAUGUCCUCUUUAAGAUCAGAUGCAUCACAUUGAGUUGCCUUCCACUUAUUGGUUGCAUGCAAUCUAAAAAUUUCAGUUUUCAGCCAAAAUGACAUUCAAGUUUGACAGACUGUAAACACAAGUACAAAUGAUGCUCCUCAAUUCAAUUUGAGGACUGCCUAAUAUCCAUCAAGCAAGAAUAGGUCUUGAUGAAUCUAUACCAGACUACGUGGCAAAUGACAAUUGAUAAAACAAGCAGCAAACUGACUCGUAGAACCACAGAGACCUGCAAAUAUUUAUUAUUAUGUUAUUUUAUAUGAAUACAUAUUGAUACUAAAAUAUAGUUUCAGAUGCCUGUCCUGUCUUGCCCUAAUGUUAAACGAUAUUUUGCUGUAAAAUAACCAGUAAUAUACAGACAUGCAACUGUUUGUUUUUAUUUAAUUUGUUGUGCAUGUUUUGCAUGUAAUCUGUUUAUACCCUAGUGAGGAUAAGCGGAACGCAAGGUGAAUGAAUUAAUAUAUAUAUAUAUAUAUAUAUAUAUAUAUAUAUAUUGCCCAUGUACUGUAUCUGUGAUAUUGGGAAAUAGAGAAUAAGAAGAGAAGAAAGUAAAGGUAAUAGGUUGGCAACAUUACUGAUGAACAUAAAUAAAAGUGCACAGAUGACGCACACCGCAUCAAAUAGAAGUAUUUAUUUAUUUAUUAUUAUAAUAGCAACCUGACCUUGCCAAACAACAGUGGUCUUCCCCCAUAUGUGCACCGUUGUGUGGACAAUAAUACAAGCUCUUACAAAAUCGAAGAAGAAGAAUCACUUCCACAUAUGUACCGAUGUUUACUGAGUGUUGCUGGAGCCGGGAGCAAAUGGCAAAUUAGUUCCUAAAAAAAAAAAAAAAAAAAAAAAGACUUCGAAAAUACUUCUUGCUGUCUUGGGAACCCACUUUUGUACAAAAAUUUACAUCGGGUAAGACAUGGCGCCACCUUCUGUACCUUCUCAAUUCACGCAAUUCAGCUUUCCCCACACACGAAGAGUUUUGGUCAUAAAUAUUAAACACAUUCAUUAUUUAAAAUUGUUAGCCCCAACCUGUCUCGGACCCCAAAAUAAGAGCAAAUUCACUCUUAACACACCUCAGACCUGAGGAUAAUCAUACAGGGUAAUCGUAUAAGAUGUAAGAUUUUCUAGUAUUUGACGUGCUUGGUCGGCAAGGGGCAAAAAAUCAGGACAAAAACAGCCCGAUUGUCUUUAUGUGUGUACCGGGCCUAUCGCUGGCCGGCUGACUAGCGGGUUGAAUCCAUCCUUUUCAACAAGAGGAGCAACAUGAUACCUGUUUCACAGAUGUGGUUGGACAAGCUAACAAGGCACCAAAAAGGGCACAAAACUUCCAUAGAAAGAAAAAACGAAAGGCAGGCAGCACUGAAUCUUAAACUGGCUGCAAUUUCUAAAACACCACACCAAAAGAAAGGAGACCACCUCCAAUGUAACCAGGGUAAACGGACAUGUAUUUUAUUUAUCAAGUAGAAAGAUGUCUUGCUUUUUCAUUUAUUUCUGAAUCACCCUCAGAUGGCUCCUGUGAGAGCUGUGCCAUUAACAUGCAUGAGGUGGGUGGCCGCUGCUUCCAAUGUGCAGUGGUGGUCUGGCAGGCUGCGUCAGACCCCAUCGCAGCUCAGCCAGUCAGAAAGCAGCGAUGUGCAUGGGGCUGUUUGGGGGAGAAAGCAACAUAGAAACAUGGAUUUCACUCCAUGCAACAGAUGCCCAAUUACCAUAAACCCUAUAAUUAGAAUGAGGUGGACGAAAUGUAAAGAGCCAGCUGCCGUUGCCCAUCUCAGACUGUGUGAAAUCUCCUUCAUAUUGAUGUGACAUUUUAGUAACGUCACCUGUUGAAGAUGGCAACGAUGACACUCGUGCCAAUAUUUACUUUCUAUCAAAGUGUACUGUGAAAUAAAACCUAUGAGAGAACAUUUACCCAAAAAACAUUUUUUCUGGAAAAAAAAUCACCAUCAGCAGCAAACCUUGGGAGAUGUUUAUCUCAGUGAGCAUUCUAAAGGAUAUGUUUUUCCUUGUCUUUUAUUUUUUUUUAAACGUUAUUUGCGAUUACGCCACAAGAGGGUAACAGUGGUUCCAUCCAUCCAUCCAUUUUCUGUACCGAUUAUCCUCACAAGGGCCUAUCCCAUCUAUCUUCGGGCGAGAGGUGGGGUACACCCCGAACUGGUCGCCAGUCAAUCGCAGGGCAACCAUUCGCACUCACAUUCACACCUACGGGCAAUUUAGAGUCUCCAAUUAAUGCAUAUUUUUGGGAUGUGGGAGGAAACCGGAGUGCCCGGAGAAAACCCACGCAGUCAUGGGGAGAACAUGCAAACUCCACACAGGCGGGGCCGGGAUUUGAACCCCAGUCUUCAGGACUGUGAGGCAGAUGUGCUAACCAAUUAUUCACCGUGCUGAGUGUUAAUUGAAUUAAAGUUAAAUUAAGACUCAGACACAGCCACAAAUGCUGCAUUUUGCCAUAACUGGCAAAGUUAGUUUUUUUUAUACAUUAAAAAAAAAAAAAAAAGUUUAACAUAUGAGGCUAAUCGAGUGCAUGUUCUCACCCUGGAGCGCUGUAAUGAUUGCAAAGGUGUGCAUAUUGACCAGCAUGACAGACUUGGUUUGUAUUAUGCAGGUCAAGUUAAUUUCCAGAAGAAGGACAUAAAUCUUUGUUCCAGGUAAGGAGCAAUAAUGAAGACGAACUAGCAGCUGAUUGCAUGCCCCAAAAAGCUAUCAGCUCCGAAGCAAAGAGCAAAGCAGGCUUCUCUUGUGACUUGGCAGCUGUUUACUUUAACCUCCAGAUCAGUUAUUUACCUGCUGUUCUGAAUAACCAUUAGUCUGUGCAACGAAUGAGACAUCCAUAAGAGAAGCAACGCCUGAGGUGAGACAACUCAUUUGGCAUGUUACGGUAUAUUAAUUGAAGACUCCAAAUUGUCCAUAAGUGGGAAUUUGAGUGUGAAUGGAUGUUUGUUUGUAUGUGCCCUGUGAUUGGCUGGCGACCACUUCAGGGUAGGAUAGGCUGCGUCUCAAACGUGACUCCAGUAAGGACAAACCCGAUAGAAAAUGGAUGGAUGUCUCCUCCUAAAAUGUUAAUGACAUGCUUUGGUCUAAAUACCUAAAGUAUCUAGAAUUACAGUACAUUUACCACUCUGUCUCAACAGCCUUGUUAGAGCAGUCCGUUUUGAAUGGGCUGUCCUGACUCUUGCGAAUUAGCCACCGCUCAGCCUCGAAAAUGUACAUUUGAAUCAUUACUUGCAAUAAUUCCAUCCCUUGUGUACAGAGGUUGACUUUAAUUCUGCAAGCUUUAUUUUACCACUCAGCCCAAAGGUGCAACAUCUAUGAUGUUCAUUUUUUUCUUUCUUAAUAAUUAAUAAUAAUGAUUGAAUUUGAAACGUGGACGCCACCAUGAAAGCACAGAGUUGGCAUAGCGAGAGCAUCUCAAAGUGAGCGAUCAAUCUGGCACGUUUUUCAUAUUCAUGAAUUGGGGCUUGGCGUGGUCAUGACUUGCACUGGCACUGACAAUGAGGUACUGAUGUAAUUUCAAUGCAGUUUGGGGUUUUAGCCUUGCCCUUCAUGGAGAAUGCCAAUUUGAUGGAUGGCUAAGGAGGGAAUGCUUACAUUUUUGUGUGGAAGAAAAAAUGCCUGUUGGCUGCUGAAUUUUUGCUUUCAGCCCACACAAAUUGGUGAACUGCUUCCAUCUUUGCCUAAAUUACUGAGGCUGUUAGAGGCACAACUAUGAAACGCUCUUCCACAGAAGGUACAUAAUCAACCUGUGUACUGUAUCCACUUUUUGUGACAUUUUUGUUUGGUGGUCUGUCAUGAGAUUUUUUUUUCUCAAGUAAAAUAUGUGCCUCCUUGGCCCAAUAAAGGUUUAGGGCAGAAGAGAAGUGUUUGUUUGUUUCACAGUACACCCCCUGAUUUAUUUAUGUGAAGUUUGCUUUCAGUGUUACUAGUGAGGUUAUGUUAUGCUGUUCAUUGUAUAUGUGUACAUUAUUUAAUAACAAAUAUAUGUGCUUAUCCAUCGACCUGUUUUUGGGGCGGCUAUAGGGGGCCCCAAGGGGUCUAGAAACAACAUCACCAACAGUAGCAUCAUCCCCUCCACCCCUGACAACUCACUUCAAGACCUAAUGGACUGGGGCCAGGGGACAUCCUAAGUUUUAUUGCUAAAGAAAUGGCAGUCUACACUACAGGAACUGAUUUAUUUCGGGCUUGCAUGUUUCCUGGAGCGCAGCACUGGAUUAUUUUUUUUUUUUUUUUUUUUUUGAACUGCUCUUAAACCACAAGAUGGUGCAAUUGGAAUAAGAAUGGAAGACGACGCUUCCUCAACAUUCACAUGUCACUUUGGAGACAGGAAAUUGAGACAAAAUGUUAUCACUGUCUGACGAAUACGAAAAACAAAACAACAAAAGUCAUUUUUUAUUUUUUUUUAAUGAAAAAAAAAAAAAAAAAAAAAGAAAAUUUAGAGUCAUGCUUCUCGCUGGACAGUGAGGGUAUGCAAUUCAAA